rnacentral:tRNA from 1 species
GGAACUGUAGCUCAGUGGUAGAGCGGCUCAGCGAAAGCUGAGUGUCAGUCUGCGCGGGUUCGAAUCCCGUCAGUUCUA